rnacentral:rRNA from 2 species
UACGUAGGGGGCAAGCGUUAUCCGGAUUUAUUGGGUUUAAAGGGUGCGUAGGCUGAUACUUAAGUCAGUGGUGAAAUUUUCCGGCUUAACCGGGAGGCUGCCGUUGAUACUGGGUAUCUUGAGUUUAGUUGAUGUGGGCGGAAUGUGUCAUGUAGCGGUGAAAUGCAUAGAGAUGACACAGAACACCGAUAGCGAAGGCAGCUCACAAAACUAGUACUGACGCUGAGGCACGAAAGCGUGGGGAUCAAAC